rnacentral:rRNA from 1 species
UACAGAGGCCACGAGCGUUAGGCGGAAUCACUGGGCUUAAAGCGUGUGUAGGUGGAUGGCUAAGUACCUUGUGAAAUCCCACGGCUCAACCGUGGAACUGCUCGGUAUACUGGUCGUCUUGAGGCACUCAGGGGCGAGCGGAACAGAUGGUGGAGCGGUGAAAUGCGUAGAUAUCAUCUGGAACGCCAAUGGUGAAGACAGCUCGCUGGGGGUGUACUGACACUGAGACAGCGAAAGCCAGGGGAGCGAACGGG